UACAGAGGUCUCAAGCGUUGUUCGGAUUCAUUGGGCGUAAAGGGUGCGUAGGCGGCGCGGUAAGUCGGGUGUGAAAUCUCGGAGCUUAACUCCGAAACUGCAUUCGAUACUGCCGUGCUUGAGGACUGGAGAGGAGACUGGAAUUUACGGUGUAGCGGUGAAAUGCGUAGAGAUGCGGAGGAACACCGAUGGCGAAGGCAGCCCCCUGGGCUAACACUGACGCUCAGGCACGAAAGCGUGGGGAGCAAACAGG
rnacentral:rRNA from 1 species